rnacentral:tRNA from 1 species
GCCUUCGUGGUGUAGUGGCCAGCAUGCUUGCUGCGUAUUAGAGAAGUCUGUGGUUCGAGUCCCGGCGAAGGUA